rnacentral:rRNA from 1 species
AUACGGAAGGUCCGGGCGUUAUCCGGAUUUAUUGGGUUUAAAGGGAGCGCAGGCGGAGAUGCAAGCGUGACGUCAAAUUUCGGGGCUCAACCCCGUCUCGCGUCGCGAACUGCGUCCCUUGGUUGCGGGAAGGGGAGGCGGAACUCGUGGUGUAGCGGUGAAAUGCAUAGAUAUCACGAAGAACUCCGAUCGCGAAGGCAGCCUUCCGGCCCGUCAACGACGCUCAGGCUCGAAGGUGCGGGUAUCAAACAGGAUUAGAUACCCUGGUAGUCCGCACAGUAAACGAUGGACACCCGCGGUUUGGCCUAUAUGGCUGAGCCGCCAAGCGAAAGCGUUAAGUGUCCCACCUGGGGAGUACGCCGGCAACGGUGAAACUCAAAUGAAUUGACGGGG